GGCUAGAUAGUAUAAGGGUUUAAUGCGUUGGGUUGCAAACCCAGAAAUGAGGGUUCAAGUCUCUCUCUGGCCU
rnacentral:tRNA from 1 species